rnacentral:tRNA from 2 species
GGAGAGGUGGCCGAGUGGUUGAAGGCGCCAGUCUUGAAAACUGGAGUACGGGAAACCGUACCGGGGGUUCGAAUCCCUCCCUCUCCGCCA